GUGGGAUGUAACUGUGAGGUGAUUGGUUGUUUUGUAACGCCCUGUGGGCUGUACUAUGUUUGUGGAUUGGGAAUAAAAGAGACUGUAUGUGACAGUACAGGGAGUUCCUGUUUUAACCCUCAAGUGAAGUGUCGUCUCAUUAUUGGGGGAAGGAUUUAUUGUAUGCUGUUCCAGUUUGACUGCUAGGAGAGUAAACCUAUUCGUAUGGUUCCUAUUCAACUGUCCACAGCAUUCAUAUGCUUGAGAGGAUUCAUAUGCUUCUCCGGUUCGGUGGUUGUGGUGUCUGCUGCAGUGCUUGGAGUCCUCA